rnacentral:rRNA from 1 species
UACGAAGGGGACUAGCGUUGUUCGGAAUCACUGGGCGUAAAGCGCGUGUAGGCGGCCUGCGAAGUCUGAUGUGAAAGCCCGAGGCUCACCCUCGGAAGUGCAUUGGAAACUGGCAGACUGGAGUCCCGGAGAGGAGGGUGGAAUUCCUGGUGUAGCGGUGAAAUGCGUAGAUAUCAGGAGGAACACCGGUGGCGAAGGCGGCCCUCUGGACGGUGACUGACGCUGAGACGCGAAAGCGUGGGGAGCAAACAGG